GAUGAACGCUAGCUACAGGCUUAACACAUGCAAGUCGAGGGGAAACGAUAUUGGAAGCUUGCUUCCGAUAGGCGUCGACCGGCGCACGGGUGAGUAACGCGUAUCCAACCUGCCCACCACUUGGGGAUAACCUUGCGAAAGUAAGACUAAUACCCAAUGACGUCCAUAGAAGACAUCUGAAAUGGAUUAAAGAUUUAACGGUGAUGGAUGGGGAUGCGGCUGAUUAGCUUGUUGGCGGGGUAAGGGCCCAUCAAGGCGACGAUCAGUAAGGGGUCUGAGACGAAGGUCCCCCACAUAGGAACUGAGACACGGUCCAAACUCCUACGGGAGGCAGCAGUGAGGAAUAUUGGUCAAUGGGCGAGAGCCUGAACCAGCCAAGUAGCGUGCAGGAUAACGGCCCUAUGGGUUGUAAACUGCUUUUAUAAGGGAAUAAAGUGAGUCUCGUGAGACUUUUUGCAUGUACCUUAUGAAUAAGGACCGGCUAAUUCCGUGCCAGCCGCCGCUGUAA
rnacentral:rRNA from 1 species